rnacentral:lncRNA from 1 species
GCCCUGCCCGGCCCAUUUAAUACGCUUAGUCAAACCAGCUCUCAUACCAGUCAUCUUGCUUGGCAAAUCACAAACCCUCGAAUCUGGAUUAGCUUCAAACCUCAUCCACUAAUAAACACAUACAUACAUCUCUACAUUGCAUGUAUAGAUUACACAGAGUUCUACAUACAUAGCAUUUUCGGAUUUUGAUUUUCAAUCAAGACCCUAAAAAUGCCAAAUAACUGCACGGUCUUGUUGCCCACUUCACUUAAAUUGUAAGUAGUUCCAAAAGCCAAGCUGUUUAAAUCCAUGAAACUCAUUAUGUAAUAAUCUUGUUAUAUUUGCCUGCAGUUGCCCUCCAAUAGUUUCUCUUGAUUGCCGCUGUCAAGUAUUCUCUAAUUUGCAAUUUCCACUCAAUCUUAAUUUUCGGCUUGGGAGAGGUNNNNN